rnacentral:rRNA from 1 species
CCUACGGGUGGCAGCAGUGGGGAAUAUUGGGCAAUGGGCGCAAGCCUGACCCAGCAACGCCGCGUGAAGGAAGACGGCUUUCGGGUUGUAAACUUCUUUUAAGAGGGAAGAGCAAAAGACGGUGCCUCUUGAAUAACCCACGCCUAACUACUUGCCAGCAGCCGCGGUAAUACGUAGGUGCCAGGCGUGGUCCGGAUUUACUGGGUGUAAAGGGUGUGUGGCCGGGCAGACAAGUCAGAUGUGAAAUCCCGUGGCUCAACCACGGAACUGCAUUUGAAACUGUCGGUCUUGAGUAUAGGAGAGGCAGGCGGAAUUCCUAGUGUAGCGGUGAAAUGCGUAGAUAUUAGGAGGAACACCAGUGGCGAAGGCGGCCUGCUGGAC